AUUGAACGCUGGCGGCAGGCCUAACACAUGCAAGUCGAACGGUAACAGGAAGCAGCUUGCUGCUUCGCUGACGAGUGGCGGACGGGUGAGUAAUGUCUGGGAAACUGCCUGAUGGAGGGGGAUAACUACUGGAAACGGUAGCUAAUACCGCAUAACGUCGCAAGACCAAAGAGGGGGACCUUCGGGCCUCUUGCCAUCGGAUGUGCCCAGAUGGGAUUAGCUUGUUGGUGGGGUAACGGCUCACCAAGGCGACGAUCCCUAGCUGGUCUGAGAGGAUGACCAGCCACACUGGAACUGAGACACGGUCCAGACUCCUACGGGAGGCAGCAGUGGGGAAUAUUGCACAAUGGGCGCAAGCCUGAUGCAGCCAUGCCGCGUGUAUGAAGAAGGCCUUCGGGUUGUAAAGUACUUUCAGCGGGGAGGAAGGGAGUAAAGUUAAUACCUUUGCUCAUUGACGUU
rnacentral:rRNA from 1 species